UCUGCUGUACUGCAAAAGAAUAUGAAAUAAAACAACUUUGUAGGUGAAACUGGAAUCUAUACCUUCAACCACACGUUAAACUUUUAUUACAUUCCAAUUCCCUCCACUUUACGCGGUGGUUUUUCUUUAAAAUCUGGGAAUUUGAAGAGUGCAGUGUCGGUUUAGCACCCAAUGAAAUUUCUUCCAACAUUCCUUUGCAUUUACCCUGUUUUAACCGGCUUGUUUUCUUACCUAUAUAUCCACCCUCUGAUUCUCAGGAAGCUCCGAGUUUUUCUUGUUUUGAUCAAAGUAUUCUUCUUCUUCAACCCCUAGAAAUCUGUUUGAGAAACAAAAGGCUUUUUAAGGGUAAGAAAGUAAAAAGAUGUCAUUACAAUCAGCAGCAGCCUACUGUUGUUGGUGCUCCUCCUCCUCAAGGGUAUCCUCCAAAAUAUGCAUAUCCACCGCCGGCACCAGGGUAUCCGGUUGAACCUUACCCCUAUCCACCACCACAGUACGGCGCAGCUCCGCCAAGACAGCAGCAGAAGGAAACCGGCUUCCUUGAAAGAUGCUUAGCAGCCCUCUGCUGUUGUUGCCUUUUGGAUGCAUGCUUUAGAGAAGGAAGUGAUCAGCAUUUGGUGUAUUGUUAUAAUGAAGGGAAUUAAUUGGUUUUUCUGUUUAUUCGUCCAAUGUAUAACGAUGGAGAUUUAUCGUGUAUCCUUUACAGGAUUCUGUUUUAGGUUUUGUUGUUAAGCAAUCAAUAUGGCCAACAUAGCAAUUCCCAA